rnacentral:tRNA from 1 species
CGCCGACCGGUCGGUGGCGAUGACCCGCGCAUCCGGGUGUGCGAGCGCAUACGACGCGGCGAGCGCCCCUGUUCCGCAGCCGAGAUCGACGAC